CCUUGCCUCUGAUACCCAUGCAUCUGGAAAGAUAGCUGUGCUGCACCAGAAACAAAACGGUGGAAGCAGUUGGUUGGAGAACAAGGUGGGACGGGGCAGUCGAGGCAGCAGGCUGGUAUCACGGGUCCUUGUCUUGCUGAGAAGAGUCUUAGAAGAUACUCUGAUGCUCACCUCAUGACAGGACAUCAUCAGGGGAGCCAGCACGUAGUUAAGACCCUGCGGUUCUUGUUCUGGAGUUUACACCGCAUCGGAGGAGACAGGAGGACCCCACCCAGGAGGAGAGAAGGUUGGGAGUGGGGGUCCCGGACCUGCGGGGCAGAAGACAAGAGGAAGCUCUUGCUCCCCAAGCAUCACCCCUAUUUCUAGCCCACGUUUGUAUCCUAUGCCUUCCUUCCAAGUUUCUGUACAGAAGCGAGAGAUGUCUUGGGCCCUCUGGAUGCACUGAGACAUUGGAGAAAACAGAUCCAAGAGGUGAGCUUGAAGAGCAGAAAGGGGCUAGGAGGAGUUUGUCUGGGAAAGAACAGACUUAAUUGGCACUAGAGCGCUCCCCUUAUAGAAGCACAGGGAUCUUUGGCUUUAAGAACUAGGGAAGCCUGAUGGGUAGGGCCAGAUUUUUCCAGGCUGGCCACCUCCAGGGGAGCUCACUGAUGAUUAUUCCCUGGGACCUCUGCCUCUGACGUCCUGCCCCCCGCAGUGAGCCACUGCCAAGCCCUGCUUUUCCAGGAUAUCAUCCAAGAUCUAUAGGAUAUUACUCCUUUUAGCUGGCAUUCUGGAAGAGCAUAUCAAAUCCAGAAAAGCCAGGCUCUUUGUUCCUGUCCACAACAACAUGCCCUCUGGAAUAAACAACACAAAGAAAUGGAAGAUGGAGUUUGG
rnacentral:lncRNA from 1 species